UACGUAGGGAGCAAACGUUGUCCGGAAUCAUUGGGCGUAAAGCGCGCGUAGGUGGCUUCGUAAGUCCGUUGUGAAAGUCAAAGGCUCAACCUUUGAAAGCCGAUGGAUACUGUGAAGCUAGAGUACGGAAGAGGAGAGUGGAAUUCCUGGUGUAGCGGUGAAAUGCGCAGAUAUCAGGAAGAACACCCGUGGCGAAGGCGGCUCUCUGGGACGGUACUGACGCUGAGACGCGAAAGCGUGGGGGAGCGAACAGG
rnacentral:rRNA from 1 species